rnacentral:rRNA from 1 species
AUGUGUGUCCCUAGAAAAAGAGGUGGCAUGAGAUUCUGUGAUAUACAGAGUUUCAAUCUAGCUAUGCUUGCUAAGCAAUGUUGGAGACUUGUUGAAAAUUUUGACACUUUACGUGCCAGAGUGCUUUGUUCAAGAUACUAUCCAAGCGGUGAUCUACUUAAUUGCGAUCUGAAGAAAGGCUUGUCAUGUGUGUGGCAAAGUAUAUGGGGGAGGAGUACAAACUUUCAAAAAAGGACCUAUGCAUUUGGAAUGAUUGUUGGAUCCCAAACAGUCCAUUGA